AAAAUGCGAUAAGUAAUGUGAAUUGCAGAAUUCAGUGAAUCAUCGAAUCUUUGAACGCACAUUGCGCCCGCCAGUAUUCUGGUGGGCAUGCCUGUUCGAGCGUCAUUUCAACCCUCAAGCUCAGCUUGGUGUUGGGACUCGCGGUAACCCGCGUUCCCCAAAUCGAUUGGCGGUCACGUCGAGCUUCCAUAGCGUAGUAAUCAUACACCUCGUUACUGGUAAUCGUCGCGGCCACGCCGUAAAACCCCAACUUCUGAAUGUUGACCUCGGAUCAGGUAGGAAUACCCGCUGAACUUAAGC
rnacentral:misc_RNA from 1 species